AAGUCGUAACAAGGUUUCCGUAGGUGAGUAAAUCGAAAUCCCACCGCGUUUUCCCCCGACUUGAACCACAUGCUAACCCUCUCUUAGGUGAACCUGCGGAAGGAUCAUUAAAAAAGGUGAGGUGCCUAGCGGCGCCUCUAUACCUCCAUCCUGUGUCUAUCUACCUUUGUUGCUUUGGCGGGCCGCGGGAGCUCCUGCUCCCCCACUGGCCUAGGCCGGCGCGAGUCCGCCAGAGUCACCCCAAAAUCCAUUCAACCGUGCCGUCUGAUAAACAAAACAAAUAAGUAAAA
rnacentral:misc_RNA from 1 species